rnacentral:rRNA from 1 species
GAGUACGGUCGCAAGAUUAAAACUCAAAGGAAUUGACGGGGACCCGCACAAGCGGUGGAUGAUGUGGAUUAAUUCGAUGCAACGCGAAAAACCUUACCUACCCUUGACAUGUCUGGAAUCCCGAAGAGAUUUGGGAGUGCUCGCAAGAGAACCGGAACACAGGUGCUGCAUGGCUGUCGUCAGCUCGUGUCGUGAGAUGUUGGGUUAAGUCCCGCAACGAGCGCAACCCUUGUCAUUAGUUGCUACGAAAGGGCACUCUAAUGAGACUGCCGGUGACAAACCGGAGGAAGGUGGGGAUGACGUCAAGUCCUCAUGGCCCUUAUGGGUAGGGCUUCACACGUCAUACAAUGGUCGGGACGGAGGGUCGCCAACCCGCGAGGGGGAGCCAAUCCCAGAAACCCGAUCGUAGUCCGGAUCGUAGUCUGCAACUCGACUACGUGAAGUCGGAAUCGCUAGUAAUCGCGGAUCAGCAUGUCGCGGUGAAUACGUUCCCGGGUCUUGUACACACCGCCCGUCACACCAUGGGAGUGGGUUUCACCAGAAGUAGUUAGCCUAACCGCAAGGGGGGCGAUUACCACGGUGGGGUUCAUGACUGGGGUG